rnacentral:rRNA from 1 species
GUGAAUGCUGUGCAAGGAGUCGUGGUAAGAAGGGGGAGGCAAGGGUAUAUCGGAAUUAUUGGGCUGAAAGGGUGGGUAGGCGUUUUCUGAAGUCGGGUGGUCAAUCCCUGGGCUCAACCCAGGAACGGCGUCCGAGACUGGGAGGCUAGAGUACUGGAGAGGUGGGUGGAAUGCCUCGUGUAGCGGUGAAAUGCGUAGAGAUGAGGAGGAACACCAGUGGCGAAGGCGGCCAACUGGACAGUAACUGACGCUGAGGCGCGAAAGCGUGGGUAGCAAACAGGAUUAGAUACCCGGGUAGUC